GGCAACCUGAGGGCAGAAUAUGGGCUUCUAAGCCCUAGAGUGUUGAGGUUUCCCCAACCCCUCCCUUGCACACACACACACACACACACACACACACUCCCUCAGCUUUAUCCACUGCCCUCUUUCCCACACCCUAGCUUUGCCCAGCGGUCAAAGGCUCACACAUACCAUCUUCUCCUUAAGGCUCUCAUUAUGUCGUGAGUCAGCGGGCGGGAGGCAGAUCUGGCAGAUACUGAGGCCCUGCUAACCCAUAAGACCGGUGUGACUUCCUUGAUCUGAGUCUGCUGCCCUAGACUGACUGUCACGGGCUGGGAAGAGGCAGAUUCCCCCCAGAUGAGGUGAAAUGAAGUACCAGUCCCUCAGAUACGAUACACAGAGAAGGAUCUCUGACAGAUCCCAGCAUCGACACUGAAGCUGAAUGGCAUAAAGAGCCAGAGACCCAGGGAGGGGCCUGUGGGCAGAAGGAGAGCAGGUGCCAAGCCCCCAGGUGUGGAGCUCUGGGCUCAUCUCAGGAACUGAAGGCCCUCCUCGAGAGUGGGCCAUGCUUAGGAGUUCUUAUGAUCAUGGCAUUCUCGAGAACUUCUCUAACUGCAGCCUCGGGCAUGAAGGCUGGGCAGCAAGUGGCACCAGCAGAAGUCUCCUAGAAGUCUCUUCUACUUGACUCUACUUGGCCUAAAGUCAGACUCCCUACACCAAAGACAGAGUUUAUUUCCAUACAGAAUGAAAUUCAAAAUAUGUUCUGAGAGAGAUGGGUUCGUGGACAAAGAGAGUGCCCCAGAAAUACCACCCCUGCAUGGAAGUGACCCUUUCUAUCUUCAAAGCGCAUAACCCAGCCUGGACAUCCCCGAAAGACACGUAACUUUCCGUUUCAUGACCUUGAAAGUUAAUCUCUCGGCCUAAUAAUGAGAACAAACUCAUUUUGAAAGUAGAAAAAUUGAGAUUCAGAGCAGAAGUUUGGC
rnacentral:lncRNA from 13 species